UACGACUACAUAUCAGGCAUAUCAAUAAGCGGAGGAAAAGAAACUAACAAGGAUUCCCUUAGUAACGGCGAGUGAAGCGGGAAGAGCUCAAAUUUGAAAUCUUCAAGGUUCUACCUUGACGAAUUGUAGUUUAAAGAAGUGUUUUCUGUUAGAUGAGUAGCAAAAGUUCCUUGGAAUGGGACAUCCAUAGAGGGUGAGAAUCCCGUAUUUGGUUAUUCAUUCUAGCUGUGUGAUACACUUUCAAAGAGUCGGAUUGUUUGGGAAUGCAGUCCAAAAUGGGUGGUAAAUUUCAUCUAAAGCUAAUAUUGGCGAGAGACCGAUAGCGAACAAGUACCGUGAGGGAAAGAUGAAAAGAACUUUGAAAAGAGAGUUAAACAGUACGUGAAAUUGUCAAAAGGGAAGCGUUUGACACCAGUGUUGUUUUUCCGAAAAUCAAUUACGAAUGGCUUGAUUUUGUGUUGUAUUGACCUUAUCAGCUUUCUUCACUUUUUUCGAGUCUUUCUUAAUGCACUUUUCGGUUAACAAGUCAACAUCAAUUUCUUUUGUUGUAAAAGAGUAUUCGGAAGGUGGCUUUCUUUUCGGAGAAAGUGUUUAUAGCCCUAUACUUCUACAAUCGGAGAGAUUGAGGUCUGCAGCGUAGAUCCUUCGGGGUUAGAUACAUUUGUGCUAAGUUGUAGCUUUUCAUAGACAACUUGUUGACUAUGUUUAGUCAUGCGGCUUACUCGCUUAUGCUAUUUUACCUACGCUUAGGAUGUUGAGUAGCGACAUACGCAC
rnacentral:rRNA from 1 species